ACGUGUAAGGGAUAGAAGAUUUUUGUUCUAACCCCGUGUCCACAAUGCCAAUGAGAAAGUAGAUCACGUGCACCAAUUUUUCAAGAUUUUGAAAUAAAUAACUGGGACCUUCAGAGGUAGCAUUGAGGACAUAUCAGUUAAUUCGGGGGCCCACUUUAUUCAUUUUAUGUGGACAACGUUAAUUUUAUGUGAAGGAGUACAUUUGAUUGAUUCAAACUAUUGUAAACUUUAAUGUUAAUUUGGUGGCCACAAAUUUCUUCCUCA
rnacentral:lncRNA from 1 species